rnacentral:rRNA from 1 species
UACGGGAGGCAGCAGUAGGGAAUCUUCCGCAAUGGACGAAAGUGUGACGGAGCAACGCCGCGUGAGUGAUGAAGGCUUUCGGGUCGUAAAACUCUGUUGUUAGGGAAGAACAAGUACAAGAGUAAAUGCUUGUACCUUGACGGUACCUAACCAGAAAGCCACGGCUAACUACGUGCCAGCAGCCGCGGUAAUACGUAGGUGGCAAGCGUUAUCCGGAAUUAUUGGGCGUAAAGCGCGCGCAGGCGGUUUCUUAAGUCUGAUGUGAAAGCCCACGGCUCAACCGUGGAGGGUCAUUGGAAACUGGGGAACUUGAGUGCAGAAGAGAAAAGCGGAAUUCCACGUGUAGCGGUGAAAUGCGUAGAGAUGUGGAGGAACACCAGUGGCGAAGGCGGCUUUUUGGUCUGUAACUGACGCUGAGGCGCGAAAGCGUGGGGAGCAAACAGGAUUAGAUACCCUGGUAGUCCACGCCGUAAACGAUGAGUGCUAAGUGUUAGAGGGUUUCCGCCCUUUAGUGCUGCAGCUAACGCAU